GUUGCCUUCUGAUGACAACUCUGCACUCUGGAGGUGGACAAAUUUUGGUCAACAGCUGGCAGUUUUAGCCAUAUUAGUCCAGUACUCACCUUCACAAAUGAGGAAACUUAAGACUUGGCCAUUGUUGAUCUAACACAUACUUACUGUUUUUUAUUGUGUUUUCUUGAUCUAAUGGUAUUUUGAAACACAAUGGGUAGGACUAAAAUACGGACCAUUCGAAAGGAGGAAAUGUUAGAUUAUUAUACUAGGCAAAUAAUGUUGCCAAUAUAUUUGCACAAUUAUGGGACAUAGACUUUCAUUUUCCUGUUUAAAAUAAGUAUGUAGUAUUAAAGAAUUAACAUAAAAUAUGGCAUUAUUAAGAAGAUCUAUGAUUUUGGUGCCUGGUCCUUAUUUAGGAGUUUAGCACCCUGGUUACAUACAUCAUGAUAAUGAAAAAGCAUUAUUCUGUUUUAUGCUGCCUGCAGAAAAAAAAAAGGAUGAAAAAUAGAAACUGUCUGUGCAGUAUGAGCCACAGUAUAAAUGUGCAGAAUAUGAUCUAAGUGGAGGAUGAUAAAAAUUUUGAAAGCAGUAUUUGCAAAACUUGUUCCAAACUUCCUCAUUAAUCAGCACAAAUAUUUUUCUAAGUAUACAUUGGAAGGCCUUUGCACUUAACUCAAUUAUUGAAGUAGUAGGAAAAUUAUGCUCUACUGUGUAUAAAAUAUUUCUAAGCUAUUCAAAGAAGACACUACAAAGAUAUUUAAAGAAGAUACUAUAAUAUAGAAAAACACUUCAUGCAGAUGUAUCAAUUAUUAGUAUCUCAUCACUAUAUGAUGUUCUUAACUAAGCUGAAAUUGUUUUCAAAUACUGGUUGAAUAAGUGAAGAAGGAAAAUUGUAUUGUGUUAACAGAAAUAUGUG
rnacentral:lncRNA from 1 species